AUUCGAUGAAGUAUUGUCUAUUUGUGAGUAAGUGGAACAAAAUAAGUAAAUAAAUAAAUGUGGUCAUUAUGAGAAAUGAGUACCAUGGUUAUCAACUGUUAUGAUAUUCUUUUAUAAAUUACUUGAUCCUGGUGCGUAAUUAGUGAGCAAGUUAUUGCUCCUAUAACUCUUGCUAUGUUGUGCAACGUUGUUAGUGCAGAAAGAAGAGCCUUGAGGGAUCCAUGUGAAACCCUGGUGUGGAUGAGAUGGUGAUAGAUCAAAAGUGGUAGUUGUCUCAUCUCUCAAAAACAUAUCCUUUACAAGGAUACAGAAAACGAAGAUCAAAAUAGGAAGGGCAUAUCCUAAAAAGGAAAAUAACAAUUACAAGAGUAUGAAACAAUGGAUGAUAGGUGCCAACCAACUAUGAUUGCCGAGCACAUGUUCAUUCUCUUUGAGGUAAGUGAACAUUUUGAUCGGACAACCAAGAGGCAUGUAGGGUGACAUUGGGCGAGAGUUGUAUCAAAUUCCAUUGAGAGCAACAGGGUUGUGAAAGCAAGUAAUUCACUCGUCCUACGACAAAAGAAGGAGGAUAAGUGGAAACUGGCAAAAGUGAGGACCAGUGAGCUAGUCAAAGGAGUGUGGGGCUCAAGGUAAUGAGGAGAGAUUGAGAUCCUUAGUGACAAUUCAAUACGAGAGAAGGGAAUUUAACAAGAGGGAACUCUCUCACAUCAGAC
rnacentral:lncRNA from 1 species